GGGUGAUGGGGGUGCGGGGUGAGCAUUACCCUCUACCCCUGUUCCCGCUACACAAGCACAGCAGCCCCCUCCUUGGUCUGGGGCUGCAACCUGCGCCCCUCCUGCUCUCAUUCUCUCCUCACUUGCUUUUCUGCUCUCACUGCCACCUGUCAGGGCAGGGACCAAACACCCAGUUCUUCCCCCUUCCAGGGACUGUGGGGGCCAGCAGGACAGUGUGAGAGGGAGGCCAGCUUGGCCUGGGCCUGAAGGAGUGAGGGGGAGUUCGGGAGGACCUGGUGACAGAAGCCUCAGGCAAUGAUUUUUAAAAAUUGAGGCAACUCACAAACCAUAAAAUUUUCAAGUGUUCAGUGUUGAAGGACACAAUUCAGUGAUUUGUAGCCUACAGUCAUGUGUCACUUAAUGACCGGGAUAUGUUCUGAGAUAUGCAUCAUGAGGCACUUUCAUCAUUGUGUCAACAUCAUGGAGUGUAGUUACACAAACCCAGAUGGCAGAGCCUGCUACACACCCAGACUGUGUGGUCUAGCCCAUUGCUCCUGGGCCACAAACCUGUGCAGCUUGUUACUGCACUAAAUAC
rnacentral:lncRNA from 1 species